CCUACGGGUGGCAGCAGUGAGGAAUAUUGGUCAAUGGCCGAAAUGCUGAACCAGCCAAGUCGCGUGAGGGAAGACGGUCCUAUGGGUUGUAAACCGCUUUUGUCAGGGGGCAAAGUCACCCACGUGUGGGUGUUGGAGAGUACCUGACGAAAAAGCAUCGGCUAACUCCGUGCCAGCAGCCGCGGUAAUACGGAGGAUCCGAGCGUUAUCCGGUUUUAUUGGGUUUAAAGGGUGCGUAGGCGGUUUAUUAAGUCAGCGGUAAAAUCCUAGAGCUCCACUCCGGUCAGCCGUUGAAACUGAUGAACUUGAGUGGGCGAGCAGCAUGCGGAAUGUGUGGUGUAGCGGUGAAAUGCAUAGAUAUCACGCAGAACUCCGAUUGCGAAGGCAGCAUACCGGCGCCCGACUGACGCUGAAGCACGAAAGCGUGGGUAUCGAACAGGAUUAGAUACCCGGGUAGUC
rnacentral:rRNA from 1 species